CCUACGGGAGGCAGCAGUGAGGAAUAUUGGUCAAUGGACGAGAGUCUGAACCAGCCAAGUAGCGUGAAGGAUGACUGCCCUAUGGGUUGUAAACUUCUUUUAUAAAGGAAUAAAACGAGGCACGUGUGCCUUUUUGCAUGUACUUUAUGAAUAAGGAUCGGCUAACUCCGUGCCAGCAGCCGCGGUAAUACGGAGGAUCCGAGCGUUAUCCGGAUUUAUUGGGUUUAAAGGGAGCGUAGAUGGGUUGUUAAGUCAGUUGUGAAAGUUUGCGGCUCAACCGUAAAAUUGCAAUUGAUACUGGCAGUCUUGAGGACAGUUGAGGUAGGCGGAAUUCGUGGUGUAGCGGUGAAAUGCUUAGAUAUCACGAAGAACCCCGAUUGCGAAGGCAGCUUACUAGACUGUGACUGACAUUGAUGCUCGAAAGUGUGGGGAUCAAACAGGAUUAGAUACCCGGGUAGUC
rnacentral:rRNA from 1 species